GACGAACGCUGGCGGCGUGCUUAACACAUGCAAGUCGAACGAAGUGGCGAACGGGUGAGUAACGUGUAAUCAACCUGCCCUUCACAGGGGGACAACCGUUGAAAACGACUGCUAAUCCCGCAUACUGUAGGAGGGGAGUGCGUUUGUUUAGCUAGUUGGAGGGGUAACCGCCCACCAAGGCGAUGCUCAGUAGCCGGUCUGGGAGGAGGAACGGCCACAUUGGGACUGGGACACGGCCCAGACUCCUACGGGAGGCAGCAGUGGGGAAUCUUCCGCAAUGGACGAAAGUCUGACGGAGCAACGCCGCGUGAGUGAUGACGGCCUUCGGGUUGUAAAGCUCUGUUAAUCGGGACGCGGUACCGGAAUAGAAAGUCACGGCUAACUACGUGCCAGCAGCCGCGGUAAUUC
rnacentral:rRNA from 1 species